UACGGAGGGUGCAAGCGUUGUUCGGAAUCAUUGGUCGUAAGGAGCGUGUAGGCGGGACAGUAUGUCGGGUGUGAAAGCCCUCGGCUUAACCGAGGAAUUGCAUCCGAAACUGCUGUUCUUGAGUACGGGAGAGGGAAGCGGAAUUUCCAGUGUAGAGGUGAAAUUCGUAGAUAUUGGAAGGAACACCGGUGGCGAAGGCGGCUUCCUGGACCGAUACUGACGCUGAGACGCGAAAGCGUGGGGAGCAAACAGGAUUAGAUACCCCCGUA
rnacentral:rRNA from 1 species